AUUGAACGCUGGCGGCAGGCCUAACACAUGCAAGUCGAACGAGUGGCGGACGGGUGAGUAAUGUCUGGGAAACUGCCUGAUGGAGGGGGAUAACUACUGGAAACGGUAGCUAAUACCGCAUACCAUCGGAUGUGCCCAUAUGGGAUUAGCUAGUAGGUGAGGUAACGGCUCACCGAGGCGACGAUCCCUAGCUGGUCUGAGAGGAUGACCAGCCACACUGGGACGUAGACACGGUCCAGACUCCUACGGGAGGCAGCAGUGGGGAAUAUUGCACAAUGGGCGCAAGCCUGAUGCAGCCAUGCCGCGUGUAUGAAGAAGGCCUUCGGGUUGUAAAGUACUUUCAGUGGGGAGGCGUUACCCGCAGAAGAAGCACCGGCUAACUCCGUGCCAGCAGCCGCGGUAAUUC
rnacentral:rRNA from 1 species